rnacentral:rRNA from 1 species
AAACCAACCGGGAUUGCCUUAGUAACGGCGAGUGAAGCGGCAAAAGCUCAAAUUUGAAAUCUGGCACCUUCGGUGCCCGAGUUGUAAUUUGAAGARGGCAACUUUGGGGCCGUUCCUCUUUUAUUUUCCUGGAACCAGAACUUCCUAGAGGGGG